rnacentral:rRNA from 1 species
UACGUAGGGGGCGAGCGUUGUCCGGAAUACUGGGCGUAAAGCGCACGCAGGCGGUCUGCUAAGUUUGGAGUGACAGUUGGUGGCUUAACUGCCAAAGUGCUUCGAAAACUGACAGACUUGAGGGCUUCAGAGGGACACGGAAUUCCGGGUGGAGUGGUGAAAUGCGUAGAGAUCGGAAAGAACACCAACGGCGAAAGCACUCUGCUGGGCCGACACUGACACUGAGAGACGAAAGCUAGGGGAGCGAAUGGG